ACAUCUCAACUCUCAUGGUUCUGCCAUGAUGAGCUUGGACUUUGGGGGUCUUGCUGGCCUAGCGUCAGCUCCUCUCAAAUGGAUCAGCUUGCCAGUGUUUGGUGGCAUCACAGGUGUGAUAACUAUCUACGCUUGUGGUUCUCUGCCAUGUAACCUUCAGUGAUGGAGGUUCGCCGGAGCUCACAGAUGUCCUCCUCGAGGAGGACAGCUUUUUGAAC
rnacentral:misc_RNA from 1 species